AUUGAACAGUGAAGGCCUUGAGGUUAGCCUCUUUGUCUUCUUCUUGUUCUUUUGUGAGCGUUAGUGGGUUUACCUCAUUUUUUGAGAUGAUUAAACGUUGUUUGAUGUCAAUUUUUGGAAAUUAUACUCAAAAUUAGACUUUAUGGAACUUAGAUUUCUUAUAUAUUGAACUAAUGAAUGAAUCCCUUUUCUAGGAUUUGCAUCCAAUUUUCAUUUCUGGAGCAAACCAAAUGAGCUCUAAGGAUACUGUCAGAAGCCUGGAAUCAUGGUUUUUGUUAUGUUCAUUUUGAGCUAACACAAACUAUGGAUUUUGGUGCAUUUUUUGGCAAAAAUUUUCUAAACAUCGAUCAACAAAAUUUUCUUUUAUUACUCUGGCAAUUGUUUUCUUAAACAUUAUAUUAUUUUAUGUUUGCUUAUCCUUAAACUUGAUCAACUUUUGGACAGUUUAUGGAAUUUGAAUUGACGAGUUCUUCAAGUAGUCCCUCUUCCUUUCUCUAAUUAGUUUUAGAAAGACAAUCAAAGAACAAAUCAAGUAAAGUCUAAAAAGAAAGGAAAUAAUCAAUAUUGAACGUGUAGUGGUUGAAAUUUGAAACCUUUUAGUUAAUUGACGAUAGAUUUGCCUCCUGAAGACUUGCUUGAACUUUGAAGGACUGUUGGGAGCAUAACUUACAAGGUCACGUAUGACCUGACUAUCUUAUUAACUUAUUUCAGGCAUAAUACUUGGGAAAAAAAAAAAAAAAAAAAGGUUAUUGGCGAUAAUAAUUAUUGCUACAAAAAAUUUUCAAUGAUAACAACUAUUGCUGCCAUAUCUUUUUUAUGUACUAUUAGUAGUAAUUGUUUAUGUUGUUAUUGUAUGUUAACUUUAUAAACAGCAAAAUUAAUGUUACUUGUGAAAUUUUAUUGCUAAUUCUAACAUUUGUUGUAGUGAUUGUUGUGAACCUAGCAGUUGAGAGGGUGGUAUAGCAAA
rnacentral:misc_RNA from 1 species